rnacentral:misc_RNA from 1 species
UCUGAGUUCAAGUUCCCUGCUGCAACAUAGUAAGUUGAAGAUUUCAGUAUUUUCUGCUGGAUCAUACCAUGUCCAUGAAUCACAUUCCAUGACAAAGUGAUGUUUGGAUAUGUUGGGUCCGCAAGCCAUUGAGUAAGGCCUUCACUCCCUUGGGCAAUUACAAGAAAAAUAGAGGAGCUAUGGGAGUUCACACUGUAUGAAAUAUUUAUUUGAGAUCCCUCAUUCAGGAAAUAUAUCAACUCCUUGUGAGAAUCAGCUAGAACAGAUACAUUAACAGAUUUGAUCCAGGACUUCACGACAUCAAGUGAUGGAGGUUUAUAAAAUCCAUACAGCAUGAGCCCAGGAU